CCUACGGGAGGCAGCAGUGAGGAAUAUUGGUCAAUGGGCGGAAGCCUGAACCAGCCAAGUCGCGUGAGGGAUUAAGGCCCUGCGGGUCGUAAACCUCUUUUGCCGGGGAGCAGUGGUCCGGACGCGUCCGGCCCGGGAGAGUACCCGGAGAAAAAGCAUCGGCUAACUCCGUGCCAGCAGCCGCGUUACUACGGAGGAUGCGAGCGUUAUCCGGAUUUAUUGGGUUUAAAGGGUGCGCAGGCGGAAGAUCAAGUCAGCGGUAAAAUUGAGAGGCUCAACCUCUUCGAGCCGUUGAAACUGGUUGUCUUGAGUGAGUGAGAAGUAUGCGGAAUGCGUGGUGUAGCGGUGAAAUGCAUAGAUAUCACGCAGAACUCCGAUUGCGAAGGCAGCAUACCGGCGCUCAACUGACGCUCAUGCACGAAAGUGUGGGUAUCGAACAGGAUUAGAUACCCGAGUAGUC
rnacentral:rRNA from 1 species